AUCAUUUAUUGUUCUUUCACCCUCAUUACAUUAAUGUUCACUAAAAUACUUUUUAAACAAUGUAAGAUCUUUUCUGUUAUAAUGACUAAAAUUCUCUCUGGCUCUCUCCUGCUACAGUGUGAACACAUGCGAUUGAAAAGCUGCAGAGUAAAGUCUCAAACCUCUCUGAACUGAAAGAGCCCUUUGUGUUGUUUGAGCAUUAUUCUGUUUUGCUUGAUUAGAUCUCUGGCAUCAUUCAGCUCCUAAAAAGCUUCAGCUCCUAAAAAGCUUUGCAAGUGACGCAAACUGGGGCGAGAGUUUUUAAACGAUAUUUCACGAUACAAACGCAGCAAAAAAAAAAAGCCAUUGUAAAAUAUGUCAAGGCUUCAACAGGCUGAUGUGGUCCUGCAACAAAAUCCCAGGAGAAAAGAACUUUGUUGAAAUGAUAUUCCGUUGUUUCAGAAAAAAACGAUGUUUGAUCACUUCGCCCGUGUGAUUAAAAAGCUGCACUGAUACCUGCUGAAAGCUGUUAUAUACAGCAGGUGAUAAUCUCACAGCAACCUUCGAUACCUGCCCGUGGUGUCCCUUCGCGUUUCUCAAGCUUUGACAAACCCACAAGUACAAGUGACACCGGCUGCACGGUCCCCAGAUCAGCUCCCCCGCGCGUUCACUGGUCUGGGCCUCAUGAUACAGCUGCGUGCGGCUGUACCAUCGCCACCUUCCCAGAGAUCAGUGGAUUCCCUGGGAGAAAGCGUGAGGAAGGAAGGGCCCAGCUCUUGUCUUGGGGUCCGGAUUGCUUGACCCGCUGUUGGAAGUUCUGGGUGUUUGGAGACUGAACUGAGUGGAGUUGAAAACUGGAGGAACUGGUGAACAAAAAGAAAAACCGUGCAAUGCAAAAACAAAGAGCUCAGCUGACCUUGCUAGCUAAGUGUCUAGAACUCUCUGUGGUGACGUUAUGUCUGUGUUAGAGCACUGAGGAAGUGUCGUCUUGCAGGGUAUAAAGGUCUCAUCCGAUGAAGAGACUUUGCAGGUUUGCUCUGGGGUUUCGCCCCGGUGAGUCGCCUCACCGGCCGCUCGACGAAACGGAUGCCGGCUCCUCGCCUUACUCACCCCCUGCUGCAGAUCAGCUGCAGCGCCUCGAGAUGUCCGUGGAAAGCCGCCCAGAGGGUCGGGGUCAUGCCGUCCUCAUCCGGGGUGUUCAGAUCCUUCCUGCUUGAUGGCGAGACCUCGGGACACAGACCAGCGCCUCUACCGCAGGACGCCUCGCAUGAUCGCCCCCGCCAGCCUGGAAAACAAGAGUCUCU